CCAACGUGAAGCAAUUUAAUUCAGCUCAGUGGGCACAACACAGAUGGUGCUUUUCAGAUUGAAUGGGGUGAUCAGAUGUCCCUUUGCAUUGAAGUCACAUGUGAAAAACGAGGCUUCUAACACAUUCAUUCAUGUUUCGAAGGGAAAUAAAGCACCCAUGAUAAUCAGAAA